rnacentral:rRNA from 1 species
GAUGAACGCUGGCGGCGUGCCUAAUACAUGCAAGUAGAACGCUGAAGCUUGGUGCUUGCACCGAGCGGAUGAGUUGCGAACGGGUGAGUAACGCGUAGGUAACCUGCCUCUUAGCGGGGGAUAACUAUUGGAAACGAUAGCUAAUACCGCAUAAAAGUCGAUAUCGCAUGAUGUUGACUUGAAAGGUGCAAUUGCAUCACUAAGAGAUGGACCUGCGUUGUAUUAGCUAGUUGGUGAGGUAACGGCUCACCAAGGCGACGAUACAUAGCCGACCUGAGAGGGUGAUCGGCCACACUGGGACUGAGACACGGCCCAGACUCCUACGGGAGGCAGCAGUAGGGAAUCUUCGGCAAUGGGGGCAACCCUGACCGAGCAACGCCGCGUGAGUGAAGAAGGUUUUCGGAUCGUAAAGCUCUGUUGUAAGAGAAGAACGAGUGUGAGAGUGGAAAGUUCACACUGUGACGGUAACUUACCAGAAA